GACGUAGGGUGCGAGCGUUGUCCGGAAUUACUGGGCGUAAAGAGCUCGUAGGCGGUUUGUCGCGUUGUCCGUGAAAACUCACAACUCAAUUGUGGGCGUGCGGGCGAUACGGGCAGACUGGAGUACUGCAGGGGAGACUGGAAUUCCUGGUGUAGCGGUGGAAUGCGCAGAUAUCAGGAGGAACACCGGUGGCGAAGGCGGAUCUCUGGGCCGAUACUGACGCUGAGGAGCGAAAGCGUGGGGAGCGAACAGG
rnacentral:rRNA from 1 species